rnacentral:ncRNA from 2 species
AUUGUAAAUUAAGCGCCAGAACUUGAGAAUGAUGGAAAAAAAUAAGCUGUUUGCUAAUUUCUCAAGUUGACGAGGACAAGGAGUAUCGAAAUUUCGGCGGAUACCUUGCGGUAGGGCACUACCGGAAAUAUUGACAAAUCCAGAAAGUGAUUUUUGGGACAAAGCAAUAAGGUGCCUGAAA